rnacentral:rRNA from 1 species
UACAGAGGUCUCAAGCGUUGUUCGGAUUCAUUGGGCGUAAAGGGUGCGUAGGUGGCGCCGUAAGUCAGGUGUGAAAUUUCGGAGCUUAACUCCGAAACUGCAUUUGAUACUGCGGUGCUUGAGGACUGGAGAGGAGACUGGAAUUUACGGUGUAGCAGUGAAAUGCGUAGAGAUCGUAAGGAAGACCAGUGGCGAAGGCGGGUCCCUGGACAAUUGCUGACACUCAGGCACGAAAGCGUGGGGAGCAAAAGGG